GACGAUUUUUAGCAAUAAAGGAUUUUCCCCCAUUUUUUUCGAGAGACCUUGUUUUGUCUGAUAUGCCUUAUGGUAUAUUUGACUAAUAUUUUAUUGGAAGAGUUAAUACAUCAUUGCAAGUGAUUCUGGGACUGAGUUAAUGCACCUGGGUUUGAAUGAAGGCAGCUAGUGAGCAAACCUUGCACCUUAGCUUAGAGCAAGUACUUUCAACUUUAUCAGAUGUAGUGCCCC